AACGGAGGGUGCAAGCGUUGUUCGGAAUUACUGGGCGUAAAGCGCGUGCAGGUGGUUCUCUAAGUUUCGUGUGAAAGCCCUCGGCUCAACCGAGGAACGGCACGGAAAACUGAAGAACUUGAGUACGGGAGAAGAGGGCGGAAUUCCCAGUGUAGAGGUGAAAUUCGUAGAUAUUGGGAGGAACACCGGCGGCGAAAGCGGCUCUCUAGACCGAUACUGACGCUCAUACGCGAGAGCGUGGGUAGCAAACAGG
rnacentral:rRNA from 1 species